ACUUUUUAACAAACACAAACA
rnacentral:misc_RNA from 1 species